rnacentral:tRNA from 1 species
AAAACAAAGUUUUAAGAAAUUACCUGAUUACACCAGGUAGAUCUGGUAUAUGCCAGUGUUUUU